rnacentral:rRNA from 1 species
AUCGAACGCUGGCGGCAGGCCUAACACAUGCAAGUCGAACGAGUGGCGGACGGGUGAGUAAUGUCUGGGAAACUGCCUGAUGGAGGGGGAUAACUACUGGAAACGGUAGCUAAUACCGCAUACGAUCAGUUCUGCCCAGAGGGGAUUAGCUAGUUGGUGGGGUAACGGCUCACAAAGGCGACGAUCCCUAGCUGGUCUGAGAGGAUGACCAGCCACACUGGAACUGAGACACGGUCCAGACUCCUACGGGAGGCAGCAGUGGGGAAUAUUGGACAAUGGGCGAAAGCCUGAUGGAGCCAUGCCGCGUGGAUGAAGAAGGCCUUCGGGUUGUAAAGUACUUUCGGUGGGGAGGCGUUACCCGCAGAAGAAGCACCGGCUAACUCCGUGCCAGCAGCCGCGGUAAUAC